rnacentral:rRNA from 1 species
AAGGUGUUGUGGUUAAUAACCGCAGCAAUUGACGUUACCCGCAUCAGAAGCAACGGCUAACUCCGAGCCAGCAGCCGCGGUAUUAAGGAGGGAGCAAGCGUUAAUCGGAAUUACUGGGCGUAACGCGCACGCAGGCGGUCUGUCAAGUCGGAUGUGAAAUCCCCGGGCCCUACCUGGGAACUGCAUUCGAAACUGGCAGGCUUGAGCCUUGUAGAGGGGGGUAGAAUUCCAGGUG